AGCUUUUCUCCAGACUUCUGCAAGUUACACAGAUCAAAUAUAAUUCUUUCCAUCUCUCUUAAGGGGUCAUAUUUUCUACACCGACCAUUUGUUGUUUUUGCCAUCCUCCUCUGAUCUCUUGCCAAGUGGUCUUCAUCUUUCUUGAAGAGUGGUGCCCAGGGCAUAGAAGAGCAGACAAAUCCUUUCUGAUGGUGGAUGAACAAGGAGGUUUCCAUGCCACAUGGAGAGCUUGAUAAUGAGUAUAUUCCAGAAAUAUUUGGAGGUGCACCUCGUCAACAGAACCCUACCAGUAGCUGCCGUACUGCUUGCUUUUGCAUUUCACUAUCAUAUUUGCAGUUUUGUGGCCAAGAGGUAGUUCUUUCAUCACUGUCAUUUUAUGGAAGUAACAGCGCUCACAUCGAUCCAUCAGUUAGAGUUUUGCCUUUUGAAUACUUCACCUCAGAACGGACACAGUAAAGUUAAAGCAGGCUAAUGUUUUACACGUAGAGCAACACACAAAAAGAAUAUAUUCAGUGGACUCUUGGCUCCAGCGGUACCUGUGAAAUACCCUAAAGGACCUCACAUAGGACCCCAGCUGGUCAGGCUAGAGAGAGGCUCCCUUGUGCCCUUACAACUCACUUCUUUCAGUCCAAGUAAGUUCAGUUUAUUUCUUCUUGAACCCUGUUGCAGCUGAGAUGUGCAAAGCUAGCCCAGCUACCUUGCAUCCGUAACUGGGGAAGGGGAAGGGGAGGUAAAUAGAAAGGGG
rnacentral:lncRNA from 1 species